GACGAACGCUGGCGGCGCGCUUAACACAUGCCUGUCGAACGGAAAGGCCUGCUUUCCCUUGUGGAUUGCGGGUACUCGAGUGGCGAACGGGUGAGUAACACGUGAGUGAUCUGCCCCCAACUUGGGUAUAAGCCUGGGAAACUGGGUCUAAUUCCCGAUAGGACUGCAGGGUGGUGCCUGUGGUGGAAAACGAUUUUCUAGUGGUUGGGGAUGAGCUCGCGGCCUAUCAGCUUGUUGGUGGGGUAAUGGCCUACCAAGGCGGCGACGGGUAGCCGGCCUGAGAGGGUGGACGGCCACAUUGGGACUGAGAUACGGCCCAGACUCCUACGGGAGGCAGCAGUGGGGAAUAUUGCACAAUGGGCGGAAGCCUGAUGCAGCGACGCCGCGUGGGGGAUGACGGCCUUCGGGUUGUAAACUCCUUUCGGCCGCGAGGAAGCCACCUGGUUGGAAGGGUGGUGACGGUAGUGGUAGAAGAAGCACCGGCUAACUACGUG
rnacentral:rRNA from 1 species